UUGACACUAAAAGGACCUCACUCAC
rnacentral:piRNA from 1 species